rnacentral:rRNA from 1 species
UACGUAGGGACCAAGCGUUGUUCGGAUUUACUGGGCGUAAAGGGCGCGUAGGCGGCAAUUCAAGUCAUCUGUGAAAUCUCCGGGCUUAACCCGGAACGGUCAGGUGAUACUGUUUUGCUAGAGUGCGGAAGGGGCAAUCGGAAUUCUCGGGUGUAGCGGUGAAAUGCGUAGAUAUCGAGAGGAACACCAGAGGUGAAGACGGGUUGCUGGGCCGACACUGACGCUGACAGCGCGAAAGCCGGUGGGAGCAAACAGGGAUU